UGUUUCUGCUGUAAAUAUUCCCAAUGCCCUUCUAUCCAUGUAUCAAUGAGACAUCCAUGUUUAUAGUGGAGCAUGCAAUUCCCCAACUGUCACUUUCACCUGAGUAUCCAGGGCCUAUCAGUGAUGGUGUGCUUGUUUAUUCCGGAUGCAGGUUGUGCUGUGGUCUAAACCACUGAACCUCUUGGGCUUCCCAAUCAGAAGGUCAGCGGUUCAAAUCAGUGUGAUGGGGCAAGCUCAGGUUGUUCUGUCCCAUCUCCUGCCAACUUAGCAGUUCUAAAGCUUGCCAGUGCAUAGUACGAUCAAAUCGGCCGCGUUGCCUGGGGACUCGCCUUUGCUCAGCGCUUCCCAGCGGAGAGGUGACAGUGGUUUUCCUUGCUGCAUCCCCUUUGCCAGGUUGCUGCACUGUGGGAACCACCGCUCGAGGCUUCAUUUGGCUGCUGGCUGGGCUUUCUGCCUUUGGCUCAGAGGGGCUCAGAAGUUGAACAUACCUGUCCUCGGAAUCGGAUGGAUACAUCAUCGAUGGCCCACUCACCCUUGCCAGGGAAAAGGUCUGUCUGGAGCGGGGGCACAUGGUGAGGGGAAAGGAAAGGCGAUCUUGUGGGAAGGGGGGCUUUUGGAUUUGUUUUGGACGCUCCUUCAAUUGACUGUUAUGGGGGAAAGGAAAGGAG